rnacentral:rRNA from 1 species
AUUGAACGCUGGCGGCAGGCCUAACACAUGCAAGUCGAGCGAGCGGCGGACGGGUGAGUAAUGUCUGGGAAACUGCCUGAUGGGAGGGGAUAACUACUGGAAACGGUAGCUAAUACCGCAUACCAUCAGAUGUGCCCAGUGGGGACUAGCUGGUAGUUCGGGUAACGGCUCACCAAGGCGACGAUCCCUAGCAGGUCUGAGAGGAUGACCAGCCACACUGGAACUGAGACACGGUCCAGACUCCUACGGGAGGCAGCAGUGGGGAAUAUUGCACAAUGGGCGAAAGCCUGAUGCAGCCAUGCCGCGUGUGUGAAGAAGGCCUUCGGGUUGUAAAGCACUUUCAGCGGGGAGGCGUUACCCGCAGAAGAAGCACCGGCUAACUCCGUGCCAGCAGCCGCGGUAAUUC